GACGAACGCUGGCGGCGUGCUUAACACAUGCAAGUCGAACGGAAAGGCCCUGCUCUUGUGGUGUGCUCGAGUGGCGAACGGGUGAGUAACACGUGAGUAACCUGUCCUUGACUUUGGGAUAACUUCAGGAAACUGGGGCUAAUACCGGAUAGGAGCUCCUGCUGCACGGUGGUGGUUGGAAAGUUUCGGCGGUUGGGGAUGGUCUGGCAGCUUAUCAGCUUGUUGGUGGGGUAGUGGCUUACCAAGGCUUUGACGGGUAGCCGGCCUGAGAGGGUGACCGGCGACAUUGGGACUGAGGUAGGGCCCAGAAUCCUACGGGAGGCAGCAGUGGGGAAUCUUGCACAAUGGGCGGAAGCGAGAUGCAGCAACGCCGCGUGCGGGAUGACGGCCUUCGGGUUAUAAACAGCUUUGGCAUGUGACGAGGCGUGCGUGACGGUAAUGGGUAAAGAAGCACCGGCUAACUACGUG
rnacentral:rRNA from 1 species